GGAACUUGCAUGUCACAGCAUUCAAUAACAUUGCCUGGUUUUCCUUGUUUUCCUCUUAGUGAAGUUUUACCAUUUUUAUUCAAGAACUGGGGCUGCAGAUCUCAGCUCAGAGGGAUGCAGUAAGGUUUCCAAUUUGGAGGGGGAUAUCUGCUCUGGAGAGCAUUUUACAGCAGAGGUGCAGGCAGCUCCAGUACAUACAGUUAGGUUUGCACUUCUUCCCAUCUUACACACUGCAGUGAGCCAAUCUUAAGUAACUGCUCCCCCUGUUCAGGAGUGUUGACAAAUUAUGCUGGUUGAGUAAUGGCUCAUUCAUUAUACAUAAAAGGAAUCACCAGUUCAUCUUCCGAAUUUCACCUAUUCCAAUAUUUAGCGUUCAAUGGGAAAAUGAUUGAAUGGAAGUCCUGCUAGUGAACAAGAGGAUUUCAUUUAUAAGGAGCAAAGGUCUUUUCUUGUGGUGUCAAACCUGGCUUCAGGAAUGUUUUAGAUGACAGAGAGUGUUUAGAAGUGAGAGUUGAGAUCACCCCAGUGGUUGAGGUGACAGCUGCUAUAAAGAUGGACUUGAAAAUGAAGCAGCAUACAAGAUAUUCAAUUACCCUGGGAAUCAGAGGAGCUACUGGAAAGGCAUAACACAGGGCUCAGCAGGAGAAUUACUGUCCUGGACCUGGGCCUUCUUGGAGCAGGAACUCUUAUUCUUGGAGGCUCUUGGAAAUGGACAACCAUUUGGAUUCCCUAGGCACAUGUCAACCAGACUGGAGUGCAAAGUUCUCAUGGAGAUAGUCUUUCUUGGUGUAAAUAUAUCACUAUGCCCAUGAAGAGUCAUCCUCUUGAUGUUUGAAGUACAGAUCAGAAUGCUGCUCAGGCCACUUCCCUAUCUCCCACCUCCAAGAUAUCUGUAUGUAAUUUCGUAACACAGUUCCCGGGCCAACAUUCUCUGACUACAGAGGUGGUAAAACAGAUCAGUUCCCAAUGCGUUAGUGAGGCAGCUGUGAUUAAAUUCUUUAUCUGGGA
rnacentral:lncRNA from 1 species